CAACUGAAGUACUGCAUCCAUUUCUGGGUGCCGCAUUUCAGGAAGCAUGUGGAGAAGCUUCAGAGCGUCCAAUGGAGGGCGAUGCACAUGAUUAGAGCCCUAGAGACCAGCUUAUAUGAGGAAAGGCUAAAAGAC